rnacentral:piRNA from 1 species
AGCCAUGUGAAGGAAAAUAUAAAUAACCCA